rnacentral:lncRNA from 1 species
AAACCCCCGGAAGGAAACUCGGGCUGAAAUACACCGUUUGCUGAAGAGCAGGGCUGGGCACUGGUUUCUCUGCGUUCUGAAUUUCUAGAAAGGAGCCGAGCAUAGAUUGAUGUGGCAUAAGUGCUCAAUAAAUGCCCAUGGACUUGGCUAAUGGAUGGACUUGCAGGGGACACUGCCCCAUCAGGAGAGAAAGGUAGCCUUACUCUCAUCUGCCCCACCAAGAGGAACCUAAGGUCCUAUUUCCUGGGGGUGUCUCAAAAAUCGGCAGAGUCGUUCUCCCCCCACCAUCCCUCCUUGCCUCCACUCCCCUCGGCCUUCUGGAUCCCCGUGGGUUUGGAGAGGCCGAUGCUUGUGGCUCUUACCAACAUCAAUUUGCAGUCUCCAGGAUGCAACUUCACCCUAUGCUGCGUUCAUAAAUUAAUCUCCUGGGAUUAGAUUCUGUGUUUUAGUAACACUCCUGAGGCAUUGUAUUUACACAUUAAUAAUAAAAGAAAAAAAGUGAGACAA